rnacentral:rRNA from 1 species
GAUGAACGCUGGCUGCGUGCCUAAUACAUGCAAGUCGAGCGAACAUACUUUUAGCUUGUUCCUUUGACGUUAGCGUUGGACGGGUGAGUAACACUUGGAUAACCUUCCUAUUAUACUUGGGUAAUUUCGGGCAACCGGAGCUACUACCAGAUCAUAUGUUGUACCGUAUGGUUCAAUAGUUAAUGACUGUUUUUCUGUUUAUUUUAGAUGAAUCCGCGCCACAUUAUCUAGUUGGUAAGGUAACGGCUUACCUACGCUACUAUGCGUAGCCGACCUGAGAGGAUGAUCAGCCACACUGGAACUGAGACACGGUCCAGACUCCUACGGGAGGCAGCAGUAGGGAAUAUUGCGCAAUGGGCGAAAGCCUGACGCAGCAAAACCGCGUGAGUGAAGAAGGUCUUCGGAUAGUAAAACUCUGUUAUUAGGAAAGAACAAAUGUGUAAGUAACUAUGGAUGCCUUGACGGUACCAAAUCAGAAAGAAACGGCUAACUACGUG